rnacentral:rRNA from 1 species
UUAAGCAUAUCAAUAAGCGGAGGAAAAGAAACCAACAGGGAUUGCCUUAGUAACGGCGAGUGAAGCGGCAACAGCUCAAAUUUGAAAGCUGGCCCUUUCAGGGUCCGCAUUGUAAUUUGUAGAGGAUGAUUCGGCGAGGGCUCCCGCCUAAGUCCCCUGGAACGGGGCGUCAUAGAGGGUGAGAAUCCCGUAUGCGGUGGGUUGCCUUAGCCAUGUGAAUCUCCUUCGACGAGUCGAGUUGUUUGGGAAUGCAGCUCUAAAUGGGAGGUAAAUUUCUUCUAAAGCUAAAUACCGGCCAGAGACCGAUAGCGCACAAGUAGAGUGAUCGAAAGAUGAAAAGCACUUUGGAAAGAGAGUUAAAAAGUACGUGAAAUUGUUGAAAGGGAAGCGCUUGCAACCAGACUUGUCCGCAGUUGCUCAGCCGGUCUUCUGACCGGCGUACUCUUCUGCGGCCAGGCCAGCAUCAGUUCGGGCGGUCGGAUAAAGACCUCGGGAAUGUAGCUCCUCUCGGGGAGUGUUAUAGCCCGGGGUGGAAUGCGGCCAGCCUGGACUGAGGAUCUCGCUUCGGCAAGGAUGCUGGCGUAAUGGUUGUAAGCGGCC